GACUACAUGAAGCUGGAAUCGCUAGUAANCGCGGAUCAGAAUGCCGCGGUGAAUACGUUCCCGGGUCUUGUACACACCGCCCGUCACACCAUGGGAGUCGGAAAUGCCCGAAGUCAGUGACCCAACCGUAAGGAGGGAGCUGCCGAAGGUGGAGCCGGUAACUGGGGUGAAGUCGUAACAAGGUAUC
rnacentral:rRNA from 1 species